GCUGGCCAAUGUGUUUUUGAGGCAGAAGAUGGAAUGAGAGAGCUGUGAGGAAAGUGUGAAUGUCUGUGAGGAAAGCAGACGACGAGAAAAGACAUGCUAGCAGCAAGACUUCAGGGAUGGCAGUGUUGGGGUGUUGGUCGGUGGGUUGGACCACCACUUGGGCAUUCAUACUUUCCAGAUGAGGUGGCCGUUGGCUUUCUCCAAGGAGCGCACCUUCUGGGAGAGAGUCCUCACCCUUUCCUCCUCCUCAAAGAGAGCCU